CAGAGGAAAGAGAAAACUGUGGGCACUGUGCUGCUCUUUCAGUCAGACUCAAACAUUCUGCCAAUAAACCUCAUUUUUCACCUGUACAUUCUGUUAUGCCAGCUGGACUCUUCCAUUCAGCUUUACCAAAAAGCUUUAUUUUAUCUUCUGAGAAAGCUCUUUAUGAAAACUAUCCUAGCUCAGAGACAGCCCUGCUGAGGCAUCCCACUGCUGCCUGGUGGUGCUGUUUCUGUAGCCACCCCUGUCCCUCAGCACAGAAAAGGCUAUCAAACAGGUUGAAUUGUGCUAAGUGUUACAUUUCCCUUUUUUUUCAGGAUGGAAAUAUUUUCCACUAAGAAGUGUGAUCCUGCCUGGUAAGACUCCCUUCAUCCAAAUCCUUUCUGGAUUGAAAGUAAGUCUGCAAAGGCAAGGGCUAAUGCACUAAUCCAUUCUGGUACUGUAUGUCUUUAUAGGAGCUUUUUAGAAGAGAAAAACAAGAAUAAGAGUCCAGAGACUUGUGCUGUACAGAAUGUAAUCAAUAAAGUUAUUCAAAGUUUUACACAAAAGCACUCACAUGGGUCAUUAGGGCAGAAACUUUAAUCCACUGAGGUUUAGAAAUGAGGAAUUUCUUAAGUAGCACCUGAGAUUAUUUUUUUCUUCCACAAGUCUUUAUGGCUUUGUGGAUUGUAAAUCCUGUGAAAACACAUUUUUUUUUUUCCCAAAUAAAUAUUGUGGAGGAAAAAUAAAAAGAGGAAGGAUUGUGGGACAUGAUGCUCUUGUGGUAACUUCUGCCACUGUUCUAAUUUGUGUGACCUCUUUGGUCCAAAGCAGAGGGAAGUCUGGGAGGUGGCCUAGUCUGUGGGAACUAUGGGAUAAAAGAAUAAAUGAAAAGGCACAUCUAGCUGCUACACUUUACUCAGAUAAAGCUAUUGUACAAAUCAGCUGUGUAUAUUGCACGUGUUUUAUUUGCAGUGUUGUUGGCAUCAGACUGCAAGCACAUUGCGGUUGUCUGUGUUAGGCCUCCACAGCAGGUCUGGUGGAGAUGUGAGUGUUCUCCCCCUCCACCAGGAGAUCUGGGGCCUUUACAGUGGAAAUUUAGGAAUCCUGCUGUUGCUGGAUGAGUCUGGUUGCAUUACCCAGAGGUGCCUUGAACAGCCACAUAACUACAGACUUGAGUGCUUGUUAGUUUUAUGGUUUUGUGCGUAAGACUAAGAAUAAAUUCAUUUCAGGGCUGUCAGAGGCUCACGGUUGGGAAUAGCUGAUUUAGGCUUGUUUGGGGGGGACCAUGUCUGCUUGAGGCUAAAGGAGAAAAUGUGGGAGAGCUCCUCAGAGAUUUCUUCUGCUCUGUAUAAGCCACUGGAACAAAAGGUAAGUGGAACUUGUUAUGAUUCAUUCAGAUUCCACAACAUUGAUGGCCAUUACAAUGGACUCAAUAGGAGAAAAAAAAAAAAAAAAAAAAAAGCACAGCCAGAAGAACAGGUUGGGUCACCACCAGCAGAAAGAUUUUUACUUCAAUAGUCACAGUUCAAUACUGAAAAUAUUGUGAUGGUGUUCCAGAGAGCACCCAUUAAUUGGAAACGCAGUUUGGCCAAAGUCAAACAAACCAGAAGCAAGUGCCUGAGAGGGCAGAAUAGAGAAAGAUGACUGAAGGAAGAAAACAUGAGCAGGGGAAAAUAAUUUUGCUGCUUGAUUGCUGGUUUCAAGGUUAAAGUGAAAAGAUUAAAUCAAAGUACCCAUUAAUUCUAACUGUUCAAUCUAACUCAGUUUGCUAAUGCUGCAAAACUACUGGUUCCCUUUUAUCUAAAAUUGCAAAAGUGUAAUUCAAAGCCUGUUCAAAGAGAAUAAUGAGGUAGCCUGGAAGACCAUUGCCUAAAACCCAGUUCCAAUUAUAUGUUAUCUGUGUGGACUCCGUUUUUAUUAGCUUGCAUUUGCCCUCAGGGGCAUCACACAAAGGCCAACCAUUAAUCAGGCUCUGGAGGAGUGCUAAACCCUUUGGACAGGGCUGAGGGCAGGACUCCAUCUCUCUCCCCAGGAUUUCCUGGAGGGAUGAAAGCAUGUGUGUCUUUCCCCUGUGCAUGUCCUGCACCACUGAUCUGCAAAUGCAUGGCUGCAUUCCCCUGGGGGCUGGUCUGCAGCAGGAGCCCUGGCUUGGCUAAAAUACUUGCAAUCUUAUCCCAGGCAAAUGAUUAACAUUGAUUUCUUUUUCAUCUGAGCAAGGUUUCUGGACAGAAAACAGGAUUCAGAGCUGGAGGAAGCAGGAGGGAGGAACUGCUGUACUUCUUGUUGGUGGACUUUGGAUCAGACAGUUGCUAAUUCAUCUUCAAAUCUUUACACAAAUGACAACGGCAAGUUCACCAUGUGUGCAAAUUCCUUUAUCUUCUGGGAAAAUGUGAAGUUUACAUCAUAAACCAGAGGCAUAUGGUAAGUUCUGAGGCCACUUCUGUCACCCCUACAGAAGGAUCAUUUGUCAACCAUGCAGUGUGUUUCCUUUCCAAACUGCCAAUAUGAGGAAAAGUAGGCUUUUGCGUGGUGCUGUGUGUGAUGGCAGGUAGCUGUGGGCAAAGAGUGACUUUUAGCAGACACUUUUCUAAGGAAAGAAAUGUCCAAGGUGUUGUCUAGCAGAGAAUGAUGGCUAAAGGCAAAGGAAAAGGAUACUCAAAGAUGGAAAAACUGUUACUUUGAUGUGCAAUGGUAACAUACGCCAUGUGAGCAAGAAGUUCAAGGUGCCCCUUAUUUAAAGUGUUUAGGACAUGGAGUGAUGCAGGGGUGGAGCACAGAAGGAGACAAAAACCUCUUUGCAUGCUCUCUAAGACUUGAAGACAGCUCUUGAAGGAGCCUCUUGCAGAAAGAGAUUUUAAGGAAAAGAGCAGAGAAGCAACUGUUGUGUGGAUUUGGAUGCAGGCAAAGCUUAAUGUCCGUGAUGAAUAAGGGCAACUCCUUUGACAGGUGACAUGGAAUGAUGUGACUGUCCUGUCACCAUGCUGAGCUGAAAUCUCACAUGAUCUGGCUGAUGUGAUCAAAUAAAUGUUUCUUCCACUUGACUGCAGCUUCUCUGAAAGCAUCAAGCCCCAGGCUGUGGGGUGAAUGUAGAAUUUUGCUCCUUAUUAUUACAGAUUAUUAUAUUUCCUGUGCCAGUCACAGGAGACCUGCCUGAAAAGACAUGCAUCCCCAUGGAGUGGCAGCCAGAACCUGGAUCCCAAAGCAUCCCUGAAAGGGCUGCAUGAUGAGUGGAGGGGGAGAUAAAGUGGUCUGAUUGACCUCGUUUGCUGAACUGAGUGACAGGAGCAGCUCCCAGAAGGAACACUGGGCUUAUCUCAUCCAAGAGAAAUUGUCACCUGGGGAAAUUAGCAUAAUCAAGCUGAGAAAUGACAUUAAUUUGUGCUUGUGCCAUGUGUGGUCCUGAUAACUUUGGAAAUUAAGUAACUGCCUAUGGUUUGUCAGCAGUAUCCAGGUUUCCUUAUGUUCUCCAUGGCAGCCUGGGUGUCUGAUGUCACCUCUUACAGCUUAAACAGUCAUGUGGAAAGCAUUAUAGGAUUUUUGGCAACAAUGGGGAAAAAGUGGUUGGUUUAAAACUGUUAUGUUUACAUGUUUUUCAAAACAAUGAAGUUUCAAGUAGUUUCCUUAUGCCCUAUUCCUUUAUCUUGCUUUGAAAGCCUCCAUUAAAGAAAUCAUGGACCUCUCAGGAGAGCAGACGUGAGUCUUUUUACAUGUUUGAAAACUUACAAAAAUUUAUUGGAAAAAAUAAGCUUAAAAUAAAGUAUUGUCCCAUAUGUCAACAUAGGCAAAGUGAUAAAGGGAAAUGACAAAUGAAAACUCUUUGUACACUGGUCUAGACAUUGGAGAGGAUUUUUAUGAGACAAAACUUUGUGCUACUGGUACUCUCACAGUGAUGAGUGAGAAAGCAGACCUUUCCAGCUAACAAGAUAGACUUUUUGGCCAAACUUGAAAACUGCUGCUUUUGUCCAGCCUCCUUCUUUCCUGGGAAAACAUCUCCCAUGCUGUGUCUCCAGCACUGUUAAAUUCUCUUCUGCCUCCCCAUUCUGGGUGUCCUCACCUGGUGAAAUCCACAUUUCCAGCAGAACACAAAUCCUCAGGAGGCCAGAUCAGAAGGUAAGGCUGUGGUCUGCAGUGUAUCUAUGCCAGGAGACUAUCCCUGACCUUCCUUCCCCUUUGCAAGGAAGAGCAGGCAAAAGGAUGGACGUUGUUGCAUGGUUAGGACUGGCACAUGUGCAUGGAAACACUUGUGCCACUGGAGAUUCACCACCAAGGCUUUUAAUUUCCCAUAUGGCAGUGUCUCCUGUCUGUCUCUGACAACUGGGUCACUCUUGAUGACUUAGGACUUACUGAGUUCUUUCCUAGGUGAUUUUAAAUCCAGGAAUCCAAUUAUUACCAAGAAAUCCAGGUCAAUGCAGGAAAAGCAGAUUCUCAAUAAAAUGCAAGUUCACCCCCAACUCCCUCCAAGUCACUUGAUGAAUAAGAAGCUGCAUUUUUUUCACAAGGAUGUCCUGAUUGCUCUCUACUCCAGGCCAUUGUGACACUGCUUCAGGGAAGGUGACAGUGCCAUGCCUGGUCGGAGAUGAGGGAGGAACAAAAGCAUCCAGCCCAGUUCAGGGUGACCACUGGCCUGUCCAGACAGUGGCUUUGGCGAGGGUGUGAUGCCU